UGACCGGAUGCCGAUCUCGAAAACCUGUCCCAGUUCGGACUGGAGUCUGCAACCCGACUCCACGAAGUUGGAUUCGCUAGUAAUCGCGCAUCAGCCAUGGCGCGGUGAAUACGUUCCCGGGCCUUGUACACACCGCCCGUCAAGCCAUGGGAGCCGGGGGCGCCUGAAGUCCGGGACCGCGAGGACCGGCCUAAGGCGAAACUGGUGACUGGGGCUAAGUCGUAACAAGGUAAC
rnacentral:rRNA from 1 species